CAUUACAGAGCUUCGAAGCCUGGAGGGUUUACUCUUCAGGCGAGAACUCCACCCUUUGUUUACAUUACCUUUGUUGCUUUAGCAGGCCCGUCCUUCGGGGCCACCGGCAAUAGCUGGUCCGCGCCUGCUAGAGGACCUAAAACUCAUGUUAAUAAAGUUGUCUGAGUACUAUAUAAUAGUUAAAACUUUCAACAACGGAUCUCUUGGUUCUGGCAUCGAUGAAGAACGCAGCGAAAUGCGAUAAGUAAUGUGAAUUGCAGAAUUCAGUGAAUCAUCGAAUCUUUGAACGCACAUUGCGCCCUCUGGUAUUCCGGGGGGCAUGCCUGUUCGAGCGUCAUUACAACCCUCAAGCUCUGCUUGGUAUUAGGCCUCACCUGCUACAGGUGGGCUUUAAAAUCAGUGGCGGUGCCAUCUGGCUUCAAGCGUAGUAAUUUUUCUCACUUGGGAGUACCAGUUGUGUGCCUGCUAUAAAACCCCAAUUUUUUAAGGUUGACCUCGGAUCAGGUAGGGAUACCCGCUGAACUUAA
rnacentral:rRNA from 1 species